GUUGCCACCGACAUCGGACACCGGGAAGUAGGCUCCUUGUGUUGCGUAAGGUAUAUGAGCACUUUGAAAGCAGAACACCGUUGUUUCCAUGAUUUGAUCAUUCAGAAAUUAUGAAGGCAUAGUUCUUGCCUUUGAUUGACUUACAGUCGAGCAGAGUAGACAUAGGUCAUGGUGGCAGUAUAGCCACUUAAGUAUUCUGAAGGAGAUUUAUCAGCAGGUUGCAGGUGAACAUGGCCUUGAGGUAAAUCCUGCCCCUUGUUGAAAUGUAGUUUCAGUAGAUAGUUCUUGGCAUUUUAAGGAAUUAGAAUAUUUUACAGAAAACAAAAGUUUUGUUUUGGUUCUUUUCUAGACUUUUUUUUUUUCCUUGUAGAAGAUGAGAAACAUGUUAAAGUUUCUUUAUGCUGAGUAAUUGUGAUACUUGAAGUUGGUCAUCUGCCUUGUUUAAGUGGAUUUUAAAUGUCAAACGCUAAUU